GACGAACGCUGGCGGCGUGCCUAAUACAUGCAAGUCGAACGCUUCUUUCCUCCCGAGUGCUUGCACUCAAUUGGAAAGAGGAGUGGCGGACGGGUGAGUAACACGUGGGUAACCUACCCAUCAGAGGGGGAUAACACUUGGAAACAGGUGCUAAUACCGCAUAACAGUUUAUGCCGCAUGGCAUAAGAGUGAAAGGCGCUUUCGGGUGUCGCUGAUGGAUGGACCCGCGGUGCAUUAGCUAGUUGGUGAGGUAACGGCUCACCAAGGCCACGAUGCAUAGCCGACCUGAGAGGGUGAUCGGCCACACUGGGACUGAGACACGGCCCAGACUCCUACGGGAGGCAGCAGUAGGGAAUCUUCGGCAAUGGACGAAAGUCUGACCGAGCAACGCCGCGUGAGUGAAGAAGGUUUUCGGAUCGUAAAACUCUGUUGUUAGAGAAGAACAAGGACGUUAGUAACUGAACGUCCCCUGACGGUAUCUAACCAGAAAGCCACGGCUAACCACGUG
rnacentral:rRNA from 1 species